rnacentral:rRNA from 1 species
GGGGGGACGCAGUAGGAUAGGCGAAGCGUGCGAUUGGAUUGCACGUCUAAGCAGUAAGGCUGAGUAUUAGGCAAAUCCGGUACUCGUUAAGGCUGAGCUGUGAUGGGGAGAAGACAUUGUGUCUUCGAGUCGUUGAUUUCACACUGCCGAGAAAAGCCUCUAGAUAGAAAAUAGGUGCCCGUACCGCAAACCGACACAGGUAGUCAAGAUGAGAAUUCUAAGGUGAGCGAGCGAACUCUCGUUAAGGAACUCGGCAAAAUGACCCCGUAACUUCGGGAGAAGGGGUGCUCUUUAGGGUUAACGCCCAGAAGAGCCGCAGUGAAUAGGCCCAAGCGACUGUUUAUCAAAAACACAGGUCUCUGCUAAACCGUAAGGUGAUGUAUAGGGGCUGACGCCUGCCCGGUGCUGGAAGGUUAAGAGGAGUGGUUAGCUUCUGCGAAGCUACGAAUCGAAGCCCCAGUAAACGGCGGCCGUAACUAUAACGGUCCUAAGGUAGCGAAAUUCCUUGUCGGGUAAGUUCCGACCCGCACGAAAGGCGUAACGAUUUGGGCACUGUCUCAACGAGAGACUCGGUGAAAUCAUAGUACCUGUGAAGAUGCAGGUUACCCGCGACAGGACGGGAAGACCCCGUGGAGCUUUACUGUAGCCUGAUAUUGAAAUUCGGCACAGCUUGUACAGGAUAGGUAGGAGCCUUUGAAACGUGAGCGCUAGCUUACGUGGAGGCGCUGGUGGGAUACUACCCUAGCUGUGUUGGCUUUCUAACCCGCACCACUUAUCGUGGUGGGAGACAGUGUCAGGCGGGCAGUUUGACUGGGGCGGUCGCCUCCUAAAAGGUAACGGAGGCGCUCAAAGGUUCCCUCAGAAUGGUUGGAAAUCAUUCAUAGAGUGUAAAGGCAUAAGGGAGCUUGACUGCGAGACCUACAAGUCGAGCAGGGUCGAAAGACGGACUUAGUGAUCCGGUGGUUCCGCAUGGAAGGGCCAUCGCUCAACGGAUAAAAGCUACCCCGGGGAUAACAGGCUUAUCUCCCCCAAGAGUUCACAUCGACGGGGAGGUUUGGCACCUCGAUGUCGGCUCAUCGCAUCCUGGGGCUGUAGUCGGUCCCAAGGGUUGGGCUGUUCGCCCAUUAAAGCGGUACGCGAGCUGGGUUCAGAACGUCGUGAGACAGUUCGGUCCCUAUCCGUCGUGGGCGUAGGAAAUUUGAGAGGAGCUGUCCUUAGUACGAGAGGACCGGGAUGGACAUACCUCUGGUGUACCAGUUGUCGUGCCAACGGCAUAGCUGGGUAGCUAUGUGUGGACGGGAUAAGUGCUGAAAGCAUCUAAGCAUGAAGCCCCCCUCAAGAUGAGAUUUCCCAACUUCGGUUAUAAGAUCCCUCAAAGAUGAUGAGGUUAAUAGGUUCGAGGUGGAAGCAUGGUGACAUGUGGAGCUGACGAAUACUAAUCGAUCGAAGACUUAAUCAA